AGCGAACGCUGGCGGCAGGCCUAACACAUGCAAGUCGAACGGCUCUUCGGAGCAGUGGCGGACGGGUGAGUAACGCGUGGGAACGUGCCCUUUGGUUCGGAACAACACAGGGAAACUUGUGCUAAUACCGGAUGAGCCCUUCGGGGGAAAGAUUUAUCGCCAUUGGAGCGGCCCGCGUUGGAUUAGGUAGUUGGUGGGGUAAAGGCCCACCAAGCCGACGAUCCAUAGCUGGUCUGAGAGGAUGAUCGGCCACACUGGGACUGAGACACGGCCCAGACUCCUACAGGAGGCAGCAGUGGGGAAUCUUGCGCAAUGGGCGAAAGCCUGACGCAGCCAUGCCGCGUGAAUGAUGAAGGUCUUAGGAUUGUAAAAUUCUUUCACCGGGGAAGAUAAUGACGGUACCCGGAGAAGAAGCCCCGGCUAACUUCGUGCCAGCAGCCGCGGUAAUACGAAGGGGGCUAGCGUUGCUCGGAAUUACUGGGCGUAAAGGGCGCGUAGGCGGACAGUUUAGUCAGAGGUAAAAGCCCAGGGCUCAACCUUGGAACUGCCUUUGAUACUGGCUGUCUUGAGUUCGGGAGAGGUGAGUGGAAUGCCGAGUGUAGAGGUGAAAUUCGUAGAUAUUCGGCGGAACACCAGUGGCGAAGGCGACUCACUGGCCCGAUACUGACGCUGAGGCGCGAAAGCGUG
rnacentral:rRNA from 1 species